AGACCUGUAAAUGGAUCUGCGACC
rnacentral:siRNA from 1 species